GGCAGUGUGGUAUAAUAAUGUGAGCACUAGGCUCUGACUCUGGAGACCAGGGUUCAAAUCCCAGCUCAGCCA